rnacentral:rRNA from 1 species
GGCGAACGGGUGAGUAACACGUGGGCAAUCUGCCCUGCACUCUGGGACAAGCCCUGGAAACAGGGGUCUAAUACCGGAUACGAGCCUCCUGGGCAUCUGGGAGGUUGGAAAGCUCCGGCGGUGCAGGAUGAGCCCGCGGCCUAUCAGCUUGUUGGUGAGGUAACGGCUCACCAAGGCGACGACGGGUAUGCCGGUCCUUGUAGAGGGCGACCGGCCAAUACUUGGGACUGAGCACAGGGUCCAACAUCUCAUAGGGGAGGCGAGGGGGAAUAUUGCACAAUGGGCGAAAGCCUGAUGCAGCGACGCCGCGUGAGGGAUGACGGCCUUCGGGUUGUAAACCUCUUUCAGCAGGGGAAGAAGCGAUGAGUUGACGGGUCCUGCAGAAGAAGCGCCGGGCUAACUACGUGCCAG